GACGAACGCUGGCGGCGUGCUUAACACAUGCAAGUCGAACGAAGUGGCGAACGGGUGAGUAAUACGUGUGUAACCCGCCCCCCUUUUUGGGAUAAGCCUGGGAAACGGGGUCUAAUACCGGAGAAAGGGGGAUGGGCCUGCGGCCUAUCAGCUUGUGGGUGGGGUGAGGGCCCACCAAGGCGGUGACGGGUAGCCGGCCUGAGAGGGUGACCGGCCACAUUGGGACUGAAAAACGGCCCAGACUCCAGCGGGAGGCAGCAGUGGGGGAGAUGGCACAAUGGGCGAAAGCCUGAUGCAGCGACGCCGCGUGGGGAAUAAAGGCUUUCGGGUUGUAAACCUCUUUCGAUAUCGAAUGGGUAGGUGGAGAAGAAGCGCCGGCUAACUACGUGCCAGCAGCCGCGGUAAUAC
rnacentral:rRNA from 1 species